GGUUCAUCAAUGCGAGGAGAAGAAUAGUUCAGCCGAUGAUCGAUCAGUCCAACAGAGCAGUGACUCAGAGUACUCCCUACAGUCCAGACGGCCAGCCAAUGGGUGGCUUCGUACUGGAUGGACAGCAGCACAUGGGCCUCAGAGGAGGUCCGAUGAGUGGCAUG